CUUUUGGCUAAGAUCAAGUGUAGUAUCUGU
rnacentral:piRNA from 3 species